rnacentral:rRNA from 1 species
CAGUCGCCGCGGUAAUACGAGUGGUGCAAGCGUUAUUCGGAUUGAUUGGGUGUAAAGGGUGUGCAGACGGCUUAUUAAGUCACUUGUUAAAUUCUUCGGCCUAACUGAAGGUCUGCAAGUGAUACUGAUGAGCUAGAGGGUGGAAGAGAGAAGUGGAAUUCUCGGAGUAGCGGUAAAAUGCGUAGAUCUCGAGAGGAACACCAAUGGCGAAGGCAGCUUCUUGGUCCAUUCCUGACGUUCAUACACGAAAGCGUGGGGAGCAAACAGGAUUAGAUACCCCGGUAGUCCCUGUCUCUUAUAC